rnacentral:rRNA from 1 species
AUUCUGGGGCUUAACUCCGGGCGUGCAGGCGAUACGGGCAUAACUUGAGUGCUGUAGGGGUAACUGGAAUUCCUGGUGUAGCGGUGAAAUGCGCAGAUAUCAGGAGGAACACCGAUGGCGAAGGCAGGUUACUGGGCAGUUACUGACGCUGAGGAGCGAAAGCAUGGGUAGCGAACAGGAUUAGAUACCCUGGUAGUCCAUGCCGUAAACGGUGGGCGCUAGGUGUGAGGGUCUUUCUACGACUUUCGUGCCGUAGCUAACGCAUUAAGCGCCCCGCCUGGGGAGUACGGCCGCAAGGCUAAAACUCAAAGGAAUUGACGGGGGCCCGCACAAGCGGCGGAGCAUGUGGAUUAAUUCGAUGCAACGCGAAGAACCUUACCUGGGCUUGACAUACAUCAGAUCGCUGCAGAGAUGUAGUUUCCCUUUGUGGUUGGUGUACAGGUGGUGCAUGGUUGUCGUCAGCUCGUGUCGUGAGAUGUUGGGUUAAGUCCCGCAACGAGCGCAACCCUUGUCUUAUGUUGCCAGCAUUUGGUUGGGGACUCAUGAGAGACUGCCGGGGUUAACUCGGAGGAAGGUGGGGAUGACGUCAAAUCAUCAUGCCCCUUAUGUCCAGGGCUUCACACAUGCUACAAUGGUCGGUACAACGCGCUGCGACACUGUGAGGUGGAGCGAAUCGCUGAAAGCCGGCCUUAGUUCGGAUUGGGGUCUGCAACUCGACCCCAUGAAGUCGGAGUCGCUAGUAAUCGCAGAUCAGCAAUGCUGCGGUGAAUACGUUCCCGGGCCUUGUACACACCGCCCGUCACGUCAUGAAAGUUGGUAACACCCGAAGCCGGUGGCCUAAACGUGUUAGGGAGCCGUCGAAGGUGGGAUCGGCGAUUGGGACGAAGUCGUAACAAGGUACCCGUACCGGAAGGUGCGGGUGGAUCACCU